rnacentral:rRNA from 1 species
GAGCGAAGCGUAUUAGCGGAAGUUUUCGGAUGGAAGCGGAUAUGACUUAGCGGCGGACGGGUGAGUAACGCGUGGAUAACCUGCCUCAUACAGGGGGAUAACAGUUAGAAAUGACUGCUAAUACCGCAUAAGCGCACAGGACCGCAUGGUCCGGUGUGAAAAACUCCGGUGGUAUGGGAUGGAUCCGCGUCUGAUUAGCUGGUUGGUGAGGUAACGGCCCACCAAGGCGACGAUCAGUAGCCGACCUGAGAGGGUGGCCGGCCACAUUGGGACUGAGACACGGCCCAAACUCCUACGGGAGGCAGCAGUGGGGAAUAUUGCACAAUGGGGGAAACCCUGAUGCAGCAACGCCGCGUGAGUGAAGAAGUAUUUCGGUAUGUAAAGCUCUAUCAGCAGGGAAGAAGAAAGACGGUACCUGACUAAGAAGCCCCGGCUAACUACGUGCCAGCAGCCGCGGUAAUACGUAGGGGGCAAGCGUUAUCCGGAUUUACUGGGUGUAAAGGGAGCGUAGACGGCUGUGCAAGUCUGAAGUGAAAGCCCGUGGCUCAACCGCGGAACUGCUUUGGAAACUGUAUGGCUUGAGUACUGGAGAGGCAGGCGGAAUUCCUAGUGUAGCGGUGAAAUGCGUAGAUAUUAGGAGGAACACCAGUGGCGAAGGCGGCCUGCUGGACAGAAACUGACGUUGAGGCUCGAAAGCGUGGGGAGCUUAAAGGGUUANAUACCCUGGUGGUCCACGCGGUAAACGAUGAUUGCUAGGGUUUGGGGAGCAAAGUUCUUCGGUGCCGUCGCAAACGCAGUAAGCAUUCCACCUUGGGAGUACGUUCGCAAGAAUGAAACUCAAAGGAAUUGACGGGGACCCGCACAAGCGGUGGAGCAUGUGGUUUAAUUCGAAGCAACGCGAAGAACCUUACCAAGUCUUGACAUCCUCCUGAAUGAUGGGUAAAGCCGUCAGGCCUUCGGGACAGGAGAGACAGGUGGUGCAUGGUUGUCGUCAGCUCGUGUCGUGAGAUGUUGGGUUAAGUCCCGCAACGAGCGCAACCCUUAUCCUCAGUAGCCAGCGGCCAGGCCGGGCACUCUGUGGAGACUGCCAGGGAGAACCUGGAGGAAGGUGGGGAUGACGUCAAAUCAUCAUGCCCCUUAUGAUUUGGACUACACACGUGCUACAAUGGCGUAAACAAAGGGAAGCGAAGUGGCGACACGGAGCGAACCCCAAAAAUAACGUCUCAGUUCGGAUUGUAGUCUGCAACUCGACUACAUGAAGCUGGAAUCGCUAGUAA